UUUUUUUUUCCCGAAAUUUUAAGAUAUAUGACAAAAUUACAUUUAGUGUUUUAAGAUUAUUAUUAAUUUUGUUAUAGUGAAUAUAUUUUAUUCAAUUAAAAAUAUCUGGUUUUUUUAUAAAUAAAUUUAAUUUAUGAUUAUUUUAAGUGAAAUAUUAUAUUUUGUUAUAAUCUUCAAUUUUCUAGGAUAAGCUAGAUGAUUUUUCUAUAAAUUAGAUUUAUAUUGAAUUUAAGGGAGGUUUAAUAAUAUCCAUCAUUUAUUUUUUUAUAAUUAUUUUUUAUAUAAAAUUUUAUAUAAUUUUGUUUUAGAUUUUUAUAAAAAUUUAUAUUUUAAUAUUUAAAAUAUUGUAAUUAUGAUAAAAUUAGUAUUUUAUACAAAUAAAAUAUAGUAAUUCGGCGAAUGUUAUUUUCGCCUGUUUAACAAAAACAUGGUCUUUUGUUUAUAUAAAAGAUCUAACCUGCCCUAUGAUUUAUUUUAAAUGGCUGCAGUAUUUUGACUGUACAAAGGUAGCAUAAUCAUUUGUCUUUUAAUUGAAGGCUGGUAUGAAUGGUUGGAUGAAAAAUAUACUUUCUUUAUUUUAUAAAAAUAAAUUAACUUUUUAGUCAAAAGGCUAAGAUUUUAUUAUAGGACGAGAAGACCCUAUAGAGCUUUAUUUUCUUUUUAUAUAAUUUUUUUAGUUUUUAAUAAGUUUAUAUAUUUAUGUUAAUUAUGUUGGGGUGACAGAAAAAAUAAUAUAACUUUUUCUACUUUUUUCAUUUAUGUAUGUUGUUUUUGAUCCUAUAUUAUAGAUAAUAAGAUUAAGUUACCUUAGGGAUAACAGCGUUAUUUUCUUAAAGAGUUCUUAUCGAUAAGAAAGUUUGCGACCUCGAUGUUGGAUUAAAAUAAGUGAUAGGAGCAGAAUAUUAUUUACUAGGUCUGUUCGACCUUUAAAUUUUUACAUGAUCUGAGUUCAGACCGGCGUGAGCCAGGU
rnacentral:rRNA from 1 species